rnacentral:rRNA from 1 species
UACGUAGGGAGCAAGCGUUGUCCGGAAUCAUUGGGCGUAAAGCGCGCGUAGGUGGCUUCGUAAGUCCGUUGUGAAAGUCAAAGGCUCAACCUUUGAAAGCCGAUGGAUACUGUGAAGCUAGAGUACGGAAGAGGCGAGUGGAAUUCCUGGUGUAGCGGUGGAAUGCGCAGAUAUCAGGAAGAACACCCGUGGCGAAGGCGGUUCUCUGGGACGGUACUGACGCUGAGACGCGAAAGCGUGGGGAGCGAACAGG